AGACGUGACGCGGACCGAAAUAAAGUAGGGAAGCAUGUGAGCCAUGUGCCAAGAAAAGCCGCUAUAGAUCAUACCGUACCCGUACCGUAAACCGACACAGGUAGAUGAGGAGAGAAUCCUAAGGCCGACGGGAGAAGCAUUGUUAAGGAACUCGGCAAAAUGACCCCGUAACUUCGGGAGAAGGGGUGCCCACGCGAGUGGGCCGCAGAGAAUAGGCUCAAGCAACUGUUUAGCAAAACACAGGUCUAUGCGAAACCGAAAGGUGAGGUAUAUGGGCUGACGCCUGCCCGGUGCUGGAAGGUUAAGAGGAGGAGUCAGGCAACGAAGCUCGAAUUUAAGCCCCAGUAAACGGCGGCCGUAACGAUAACGGUCCUAAGGUAGCGAAAUUCCUUGUCGGGUAAGUUCCGACCCGCACGAAAGGCGUAAUGAUUUGAGCACUGUCUCGACAAUGCACCCGGUGAAAUUGAAGUACCAGUGAAGAUGCUGGUUACCUGCGCCAGGACGGAAAGACCCCAUGGAGCUUUACUCCAGUUUGAUACUGGGAUUCGAUACUGAAUGUACAGGAUAGGUGGGAGGCUGAGAAGCGUGGACGCCAGUCUGCGGUGAGCCGCUGUUGGGAUACCACCCUUUGAGUAUUGGAUUUCUAACCUGCGCCCGUGACCCGGGCGGGGGACAAUGUCUGACGGGGAGUUUGACUGGGGCGGUCGCCUCCGAAAGGGUAUCGGAGGCGCUCAAAGGUUCCCUCAGAAUGGUUGGAAACCAUUCGCAGAGUGCAAAGGCAGAAGGGAGCUUGACUGUGACACCGACGGGUGGAGCAGGUACGAAAGUAGGACUUAGUGAUCCGGUGGUAUGAAAGUGGGAUUGCCAUCGCUCAACGGAUAAAAGCUACCCUGGGAUAACAGGCUUAUCACUCCCAAGAGUUCACAUCGACGGAGUGGUUUGGCACCUCGAUGUCGGCUCAUCGCAUCCUGGGGCUGUAGCAGGUCCCAAGGGUUGGGCUGUUCGCCCAUUAAAGCGGUACGCGAGCUGGGUUCAGAACGUCGUGAGACUGUUCGGUCCCUAUCCGGCGCAGGCGUAGGAUAUUUGAGUGGAGCUGUCCUUAGUACGAGAGGACCGGGAUGGACAGACCGCUGGUGUAUCUGUUGGUGACCAACACCAUGGCAGAGUAGCCAAGUCUGGCAGGGAUAAACGCUGAAGGCAUCUAAGCGUGAAGCCCCCCUCAAGAUGAGAUAUCCCAAUAAGUAAGACCCCUUAGAGAGUAUGAGGUAGAUAGGCUUAAGGUGUAAGCAUAGUAAUAUGUUCAGCUGAUAAGUACUAAUAGGUCGAGGGCUUACCU
rnacentral:rRNA from 1 species